UGGGGAAUAUUGCACAAUGGGCGGAAGCCUGAUGCAGCAACGCCGCGUGAGGGAUGACGGCCUUCGGGUUGUAAACCUCUUUUAGCAGGGAAGAAGCGAGAGUGACGGUACCUGCAGAAAAAGCGCCGGCUAACUACGUGCCAGCAGCCGCGGUAAUACGUGGGGCGCAAGCGUUAUCCGGAAUUAUUGGGCGUAAAGAGCUCGUAGGCGGUUUGUCGCGUCUGCUGUGAAAUCCCGAGGCUCAACCUCGGGCCUGCAGUGGGUACGGGCAGACUAGAGUGCGGUAGGGGAGAUUGGAAUUCCUGGUGUAGCGGUGGAAUGCGCAGAUAUCAGGAGGAACACCGAUGGCGAAGGCAGAUCUCUGGGCCGUAACUGACGCUGAGGAGCGAAAGGGUGGGGAGCAAACGGGCUUAGAUACCCUGGUAGUCCACCCCGUAAACGUUGGGAACUAGUUGUGGGGACCAUUCCACGGUUUCCGUGACGCAGCUAA
rnacentral:rRNA from 1 species